GUACUACAUGUCACCAAUAAAAAAAUACGCGCAGUGCUUUAUAGCUUUGGCAGAUAUUUGGAGAUUUCCCCCAAUCUAUUUUUUAAUACAUCAGCGUGUCAGGCGGUUGUUGUGGUUUAAAUAAUAACACAUAUUUGUGGUUAAAAAUACUAUUAAAUUUUAUUUAUAAAACUCCAUAAAUGGAUAAAAUAGACUAGUUUACGUCAGAUUUUGUUUUAUACAUGAAUUACUAAAAUUAGUGUGGUUUUUGGUUUUAUUUACUGUAUUGGACUAUUAUUGGGAAAAAAUUAUUAUAUCAAACUAUGAAUAACUGGACAAGAAAUGUAUUUUGCAAAAGGGAAAACGUUAAAUGUUGUAUAAAAAGUCUUAAUAAUAGAUGAUAUUUCGGAGGGGGUGCCAUUUUUUAACCCGUAUAAUUUUUCAACAUUUUUAGCAAUUCUUGUAAUAACAUUAGUUCUACAGUAAAAAUUCAUAAAUUCAUGAUUUUCUCUUAAAUAUAGACAGGGAGAAAGUUAAACAUAAAAAAAUCCAGAUCCAUUAUUUCACUUAUAAAAUAAAAUAAAAACACGUCUACUUCCUAUUCAUUUUCAAAUUUACCUUUUUUAUUUUUAUCAAAGUGAUUUUUGCACACAUUUUUUUUUGGUACUUACAAUUAAUAUUUCCUGAUGGUAAGCUGUUUUUUCCUACUUUUAACAAAUUGAUAUUUAUUAUAUCUUUAUUUAUUGGUACUAAAAUUAAUGAAAAUGCAAUAAUUACUAACGUUUAACGUAGCAACUUUUUUUCUGAACAUCUUGGUGUCGUGAAUGAAAUAAAACAAACACAUUUAACAUAUUGCUUUUUUUAUUUGUUUCACUUGAUUCAGCUUAUUUUUGAGCGAAAUGUCUUUAAAAAUAAGUCGAAAAACCAUAUACAAUUUGCUUGAAAAAUAGUAAAAUUAGUUAUUUUUAUAUUUCUCAAAGAAGCACAAACUUGCUCGGAGUCACAUUCUCAGUUUCCUGAGAAAAACAGAGUGAAAAUUUAUUCAAUUCAGACGAAUAACAUCAUUAUUUUUCCUUUUCCGAAAGUUUUAAAAACUUUCCAAACCAAAUUUCACCACGUUUUGGAGUAAAAUCUGAUUUUUUUUCCCGAGAUUGGACUAAAAGAGACCGUAAAAUCACUAGUUUAAAUCCAAGAUUGUAUUAUUUUUGUUUUUUUUUGGUUACGUCUUUCGGCCAGAAACGCAAUUAUUUUGCAAAAUUUCGUUAAAAAUAGAUCGAAAAAACUCUUCGAGUCUUGUUGAGAUAAACUGUGUGUUUUUUUCCGAAAAAUUUACCUGAAAUUAGAUAAGAAUUCACCGAAUUAGAUCGAAAUUGAUGUCAUUUUAUUUAUGUAACGACUAAUUUAUUUUGCAAGAUUUUGUCAAAACACAUUUCAAAAUUACAUAAUAAAAAAUUACAUUUUUGAUCAAAAUUUCCUCAUAAUAUGCCGAAAAGUCACAAUUCGUUUGUUCUUUUGUUGAUUAAGUCGGAAAUUCAUUUUUGCUUUUUUUGUGUUUAGCACGUUUUUCAGCGAAGAAUCAACAAAAUUAGGCCGAAAUAAAUUGUAAUUUAUGCUUUUAUCGAGUGUUUAACACAAUAAUAUGUUUUCUUUCGAAAAUUUUCGCUGAAAUUGGCUUAAAUAUCUUCAAAUUUGAUUGAAAUUGAUAUUAAUUUCACCGUAUAUCAGUCGGUUUGGUUCGUUUUUGAACCUGAAUCUGAUUUAUUUUGUAAAAACUUGUCAAAACGCUCCUCAAAAUCACGAAAUCCCCCGAUUUUAUUUUUUUUUUUUUUUGGGAGAAGAAUAAACUGAAAAAAAUUAUUGAAAAGCAAGUUUUUUCAUCUGAUUUUGUCAAAACUGGUAAAUAACAUUUCUCACUUUUUGCGAUGAUUAUUUCGAAACCGAAACGAAAAAAAAGGUCAAAGAAUUUAAUUUUGUUCAUUAAUUCGAAAUGGUAUUGUAAACAAAAUGAAAAAAUCCGUGUUUUGCUUUGUUAUACGGUAAAUUUUAAUGGCACAUUAAAAUUUGUUUUGCAUCAACCGAAUAAUUAAUUAAAUUUCUAAACAAACUAAGAAAUUUAUUUAUUUUUAAUUAAAACAAUCAGUUAUGUCAUCUAAUAUUAACAUAACCACUUAUUUAUUGAUACCACAAAGAAUAAUUUAUAAUUAUAACACUAUUCGUUUUAAAUAAGAAAUUCCAUACAUAAAUAAAUCAAAAAAAAAUGGGAAAAUCAAAACGCAGAUUUAUAAGUUGUGUGUCUAGAAACGGUAGAAAUGUCUAGCACAUGUAUGUUUAAGCUUUAAUUUACUCUAAAAUGUACUAAUGAAUAAGAUAAAGAAGAGGUCAACAUCAUUCCUAUGAAAAAUAUUAUUAGAACAUAAACUAUUUUUCUAUUUUUAACAAUUCCCUUAAAGUUCCUUCAAGCAAAGCAAAAGUAUUUGUUCCAUGCUUUUUUAGCACUUCUGGGAUUAAACGCCUCCCUAGUAUCUUAUGCAAGCACAAGUUACUUUUUCGGCUGAAUUUGUAAUUUUUUAUUCAAAUUUAUUCUCUUGACAUUUUUUUCAGGGGCUGUGUUAAUUACACAAUUAUAAACGUUUCAGAAUUUUUUGAAAGAAAAAAAUGUUACUCCAAAAUGUGAGAGUUUUACCAGCAAGACCAAAAUAAUAAUUUCACUUAUUUAAAGGCCAUUUAAAUCGGUAAAUAGUUGACUCGUUACUACUUUUUCAAUUACCAAUAAUAGGCAUAUGAUUCAUUAUGUUUAAAGUAAUUGUUCUCGGAACGGAGGAAACAGGAAAAUGUGUAAAUCCAGUAACUAAUUUUAUUAACAAAUCUAAAGAUUAAAUUAUUGCAAGCAGAAACAGGUUUAGGUUGUGUCGAUGUUCUGGGCUAAAUUCUUCAAGAUACGAUUUUACAUAAUUUUGCACAAUUGGUUUUCUUGAUAUAAUCUGGAAUGGCCAAUGUAAAAAAUAUGAAGACAAAACAUGACAAUCACAAAUUUGCUUUUUGCAUAUUAAAUGACUGACCUACCGCAAGUACGUUUGUAAUAAAUUGCAUAUACGCGGGAGAAAAUUGUAACGUGGUCUUCCCCAAUGCUGUUAGUCAUCAAUGGGUCGCGAACUGUAUAUAUUGAAAAAAUCGCUCUUAGCAUUCAUUCACACUCAGAAACUUAACCGCAGAAGUUCAUUAAAACAAAUUUCGGGCCAAUCAUUAUUUAAGAAUGAAUCGUCUUACAUUCAGUGUUGCAAUUAUUAUAAGUGUCGUUAGUGUUACUACCGGUUCCCCAGGGAAAAAAUUAAAUAUGUUCCAUAAACAUUUUGCCGCCGUUGAUAAGUUCAAAUGCAAGGACCCACAACCUCGAGCUAUUGCUAUUUCCGAAUUUCUAAACAAGAGCAUAAUUAGCGAAGCAAAUUUGAUGAUUUCUCCAGAUAUUACAGUACUUCAUAGAUGUGGACAGGCGGGAUGUUGUCACAAAAACAAAACGUGUCAAGCACAUAAGACUGAAACCGUCACAUUGGUUUUCCUAAUUAACAAAAAAAGAAGUCAUAAAGAAUAUAUCGACGUUACGGCACAAAAUCACACAGAGUGUGAAUGCCAACCUCUCGUGAAUAAUCCUAAAUAAGUUUACAGAAAUGUUUUAUUUAUUUUGUAUUUAUUUUGUUUUGUUAGUCAUACGAAGCCAAGCUGUGAUAUUACCUAUCAUAAGUAUUUAAAAACACUGUUAAUUUAUAGAUUUUCUUACAUAUCUCGACUGGACAAUAUAAACGUAUAAGUCUGUGUAAUAAGUAAAAACUAUGCAAAAUAAAUAGUUAAGAUUAUUUUGUGAAUUGCUGUUUAUUUGUAAUAAAGAGAAUAAAAGAUGA